CAUUUGAGGCUCUUCUCCUUGCCUGCCCAUGAGGACCCUCAGACAGCUGGUUAGAGACACUGUGUGACUGAGAAAGUCACAUAAAAUGCAGGCUGGAUUCGCUGCAGCAGCGGUUGGUGGACAGGCAUUCUCUGCCACACGCCUCCACCAUCGUAGACUGAAGUGCCACUGACCAAAGCAACAAGACCAAGAGGACAUGGGCCGAAACUUCCAGAACUGGAAUGCUAAAAACAUGCUGCUGACACAUUGACUCUGAGGGCAGAGAAUGCCAAAAGUGCAGGACAAGAGGAGACAGAAAAGUGAGUGGAAAAUGUCACAGGGCAGUCCUGCAAGGAAGUUCAUGUGCCUUUCCUAGCCUGCCUGAAUGCUUUUUGAUGGGGGAAUGUUAAGUACAUUUUUCAAGCAACACCUAAAAUGCCAGUUCCCACUAAACCACCUUCUCCCCAACAAGUGAAAUAGCUUAGGGAGAUCCCAAUGGAACUCACAUCUUCCUCAAGUCCUUCAUGAAGAGGCCACGCACAACGUUAGUGCUAAGAAACGAAAAAGGAGACCCCGUCUCUAGCAGUUCAUUUUGGGAGGUAGCCACAGAUCCAUGGAAUAUCGAAGAGCUUUCUUAAGAGCCCAGCGCAAGAAGCCAACGAGGAACAUUAACGGAGGUAUGAUUUCCUACCCCUGUCUGCACUUGGCUCUAUGUGAAAAGUAUUCAGUGUUAAUUAACGAAGUUGCAAAAAUUAUGGACUUUGGAAAGCAAAUGGUUUCAUUUUAAUCAAUUAUUCAUAAAAAGACGAGGCUUUCACCUUCCUAAGGACAAAGAUUGAUUUCCCACCAUCCUGGAUAGAAACAUCAGCAAUACAGAGUAAGGUGAUUUUAAAAUUUCAGGAACAGUCUCAUCAAAUUCUUCAUACACAAGAGAAUUCAUGUUCUAAUCCAAGGGAAUCUGUUCCCUGCUGUGGAAUGAUCCUUCUGUACACUGCAAAGGUGUGUUGCUCUCAUUGUUAAUAAAAAUUGAUUGGCUGAUAUCUAGGCAGGAUUAUCAGGGCAGAAGGAAACUUGGGAAGAAGAAAGGGCAGAGUCAGGGAGUCCCAGAGUCCCAGAACCGGAAGCUGUAGAAGCAACAUGGGAAGAUCAUAGAUGAGGUAAA